CGCCGGCGGCGUGGUGCUGAUGCUGCUGCUGGGCAUGGCGGGCGCCGUGACCGCGCUGGGCGACCUGCUGUUCGCACCGGCGGCCGGCAC
rnacentral:tRNA from 1 species